rnacentral:tRNA from 1 species
UUGCGGCUGGAUCACCUCCUUUCUAAGAGUUAAGUUUGAAUCGCGCUGACUCUUUCCGAGAUUCGAGUCUGGCUUCUGUACGUUUUCUGCCUCAAAUCUUUCUUCCCAAGGAACGCCAUCGGGCCUGUAGCUCAGGUGGUUAGAGCGCACGCCUGAUAAGCGUGAGGUCGGUAGUUCAACUCUACCCAGGCCCACAUUGCAGUAAGAGAAGGGCUUUCGGUAGAGGGGAUGUAGCUCAGUUGGGAGAGCGCCGCACUUGCACUGCGGAGGCCGUCGGUUCGAACCCGAUCAUCUCCAUACGAAGUUUGCUUCGUAGUUGAGAAUUGAGCAUUGAACAUUGAGAACUCGUCGAUGUUCAAUAUUCAGUUCUCAAUUGUCA